UACGUAGGGGGCAAGCGUUGUCCGGAAUCAUUGGGCGUAAAGAGCGUGUAGGCGGCCCGGUAAGUCCGCUGUGAAAGUCGGGGGCUCAACCCUCGAAUGCCGGUGGAUACUGUCGGGCUAGAGUGCGGGAGAGGCGAGUGGAAUUCCUGGUGUAGCGGUGAAAUGCGCAGAUAUCAGGAGGAACACCGGUGGCGAAGGCGGCUCGCUGGAACGUAACUGACGCUGAGGCGCGAAAGCGUGGGGAGCAAACGGG
rnacentral:rRNA from 1 species